GGGGGAAGGGAAGCCAACCAAUGUGAGGGAGAGAACUAACAAAUACUGCGGAGGGGAACCCAACAAACGAAAUAUAAAAAAAGAUAUAGAAAAUCAGUGAUUUAGAGGCUGCAGAUAAACCCAAAGCUCAGGCUGAACGUUCCUCAGAGGCAGACUGACCAGGAGGAGGAGGAGGAUCCCUCCGAAAUGAUGGGCAGGAAGAAGAGAGGAGCGCUGCUGCUUACCCUGCGGUUCCGGUUGUGCUCUGCGGAGCGCAGGUGCCGCUGCAGGAGGUGGUUCUGGGCAGGGAUCAGCAUGUCACAGGCCAUGCAGUGAGCAGCCUCGAUCUUCUUGAAGAAGUGUUCCUGGCCAAUGCCUGCGGGGAUGGGAAAACACCGGGCAAAAAAAAUCGGAAGGAAAUGAGGCAUUCUGCCCAAACUUUUUGAGGUCUGCCUCCUUUUUAGGAUCUAUUUCGCGAGCCUCGCAGAUCUGCUGCUUGAGGAACCGCAGAAGGGACGGACAUCCCCUUCCCCAUAAUGAUUUACUCUACAAAACAAGCAAAAAACUCACUCUGCCCCAAAGAGCACACCCAGCACCACCCGGCUGCUGCCCCUGGACGGCUGACACCUCUUACCCUUGAAGGGAUCCGGCUUCUGCUUCACGCCCUCCUUCUCCGUCAGCUCCUGGCGGCGCUUCUCAAUCUUCCUGUUCCUGUUGACGAUGUACUCCUGGAGGGGACAACACCCACCACACAACACCCCCUCAGCUGUCGGUGUCGGCCAACAGCAGCUCCGCAGGAAGACCACAAGGAUGACUAUAAUGGGCACAGCGGGUGCCUUCCCCUGUCCCCUGUCGGGUUGAUGCUGUUAUACCCCACUGGGACACAACAGUGGCACCCUACGGCCCCCAGAAGGAAACAACCUCACGUAUCUGACCCCAAAAAGCAAACAGUGGUCAGCCCCAGAAAAUAAAACACCCUCCUCUCGGUCCUCCCUCGGUUCUAUCUGAGCAGAUGGCAAAGAACUGCUGCGGCAUCUUUCCCCAGCUACAUCUACGCAAAACGGUCAAGAAUUUCUGGAGCAUUCAUCUUUGGCUUUUCUGUUUAAAUUCACACAUUACUUCGUCUUCCCAACGUGCCAAACCGUGAGACACUGCAUCAAGAAAAGCGACGUCAGUGAGCGACGCACGGAAGCGGUGAUGUCGGCCAAGCAGUAAAGGGCUUCAACAGUGCAGAACCCCUCCCUCCCUCACAGACCCCAAACUGACCC